AUCGCCCCCUCUCCCGCCGAUUUGCGCCCCAGCAAGAAUCUGCAAAGCCUUAGAGGGUGACAGACAAGCUGUGCUGGAGGGGGCGCGAGGGGGGAGGGAAUCUGCCAGCCCUGGCCCAUCCCCCCCAUUCCCUACCCCGCUUUUCAUGUCUGAUCCAGUGCACCAUUGAUCGGAGCACGCUACACCUUUUUUUGGGGGGGGGGGAUUCCCCUUAACCCCCACGUGUUCUCCGUGCUCACAGCGCCCUGCGUGUGUGCGAAAGGUAGUUCUCUCCCUCCUCCCCACGUGUGCGUAUUCCUCUGUAGCUGAAUGCGGCCGGGCCCUUGACUCCUGUCUCCCUUGCUUUGCUGGCACAGUGACAUGUAGGCCUCAGUCCUUCAUUUCUGUGCAGUUCCAGAGCUGGAAAUAAACUGGCCAAGAUUGGAAAUGCUGAACGCUUUGCAUUUUCUUGCACGUUGUAAUAGAUAUUACUUCCAUCAGGAGAAAUAAACUGUUAUAGCAUGAAGGGAACCCAUACCAGGAGAAAAUACUGAGAAUUUUAAAUGGAUAUCUCAUUUAUGAGGGCGCUUUAAUUUUUCAGCCUUCCCUUGCAAACUUUAAAUUACAUUCCCAGCUAUGACAUCUGGUUUCUCAUCAGUGCGUGUGCCAUCAUUUUGCAAAAGUUGGUACCGUCUAACAUGAUGAAUCAUCAUAGUUAUUGAUCUCUGGAAGAUGGACAGCUCUGCAGUAUCUGCUUGGAAUAUUUUUUUUUAGUGGGGAAAAGCACAUAGGAGAUAACUUAAUAGUGCACAACAAAAAUCUCCAUGGAGUCAAACUGCUUUAGUCUAUGAAACCAUGGGAUGGUAUAAGAAUGACUUGUCUUAACAAAGUUCUGACUGUUUUGCUGCCUCAGUUUACUUCUUGUUGUAUGACCUAAAGCUGAUCUCCUUACACCUUCAUGCGGAGGUGAGGAUUCAUAAUGCUGCCUUGUUGGGCCAUAUUUGGUAAUGGCCAUUCUCUAGAGUUUAGCACUUGUUGCGUUUUCAAUUUGCAGUACAACAUUUUGUGAUUCAGAAGGCUGAUCCAGGUGGUUGUGAUGUAAGCAGAACAUAAGACGUCAUAUACUAAUUUCUGUGCAUAUCAUGUAUGUAGAGCUUUGUGAAUUACACUAUUUAUCCUAAACUCUAAAGCUAUAGGACUACAUACAGUACUUCUGGUGAGAAUGGCUUGAAAGUAUACCCAAGAUCUGCAAUAAAUGUCUUUUGACUUGCCUUCA